GAUGCAGAGGGCUGUAAGUGUGGUGGCCCAUCUGGGCUCUCGCCUGCAGGCAUUCUCCCCGGCCUUGUGUCGUCCAUUUAGUUGCGCACAGGUGGGAUAGAGGGUGCUGGUCUUGGAGGGUGGGGGAGGGAAGCGGCUGGGGGCUAGGGCCCUGGUGGCACUAAGCCCAGCCGCCCGCAGGAGGUGCUCCGCCGGACACCGCUGUAUGACUUCCACCUGGCCCACGGCGGGAAAAUGGUGGCGUUUGCGGGUUGGAGUCUGCCAGUGCAGUACCGGGACAGUCACACUGACUCGCACCUGCACACACGCCAGCACUGCUCGCUCUUUGACGUGUCUCAUAUGCUGCAGACCAAGAUACUUGGUAGUGACCGGGUGAAGCUGAUGGAGAGUCUAGUGGUUGGAGACAUUGCAGAGCUAAGACCAAACCAGGACAAGGUCAGGGAGCUUCAGAACCAGGGCAGAGAUGUGGGCCUGGAGGUGUUGGAUAAUGCCCUGCUAGCUCUGCAAGGCCCCACUGCAGCCCAGGUACUACAGGCCGGCGUGGCAGAUGACCUGAGGAAACUGCCCUUCAUGACCAGUGCUGUGAUGGAGGUGUUUGGCGUGUCUGGCUGCCGUGUGACCCGCUGUGGCUACACAGGAGAGGAUGGUGUGGAGGUACUGUGACUAGUGGCUGCCCCUCGCCCUCUCUGAAGAAGAAUGUGGCGAUGGGUUAUGUGCCCUGCGAGUACAGUCGUCCAGGGACAAUGCUGCUGGUAGAGGUGCGGCGGAAGCAGCAGAUGGCUGUAGUCAGCAAGAUGCCCUUUGUGCCCACAAACUACUAUACCCUCAAGUGAAGCUGGCUCA
rnacentral:sRNA from 1 species